GAUGAACGCUGGCGGCGUGCCUAAUACAUGCAAGUCGAGCGAACGGACGAGAAGCUUGCUUCUCUGAUGUUAGCGGCGGACGGGUGAGUAACACGUGGAUAACCUACCUAUAAGACUGGGAUAACUUCGGGAAACCGGAGCUAAUACCGGAUAAUAUUUUGAACCGCAUGGUUCAAAAGUGAAAGACGGUCUUGCUGUCACUUAUAGAUGGAUCCGCGCUGCAUUAGCUAGUUGGUAAGGUAACGGCUUACCAAGGCAACGAUGCAUAGCCGACCUGAGAGGGUGAUCGGCCACACUGGAAGUGAGACACGGUCCAGACUCCUACGGGAGGCAGCACUAGGGAAUCUUCCGCAAUGGGCGAAAGCCUGACGGAGCAACGCCGCGUGAGUGAUGAAGGUCUUCGGAUCGUAAAACUCUGUUAUUAGGGAAGAACAUAUGUGUAAGUAACUGUGCACAUCUUGACGGGACCUAAUAAGAAAGCCACGGCUAACUACGU
rnacentral:rRNA from 1 species